AGUCGUAACAAGGUUUCCGUAGGUGAACCUGCGGAAGGAUCAUUAUUGAGAUAGUCAGAAGCCUAUUAGGUCACCCAAACGCUUUGAAAUAUUAGCGGAAUGGCGAGUAAUACAAUCGGCAUGACCGUUUGAAUCCAAGGCAGCUAUCCACCCGUGUAUAUAUACUCUGUUGGCUUUCCGGGCGUUCAUACCCCGGAGAGAACCCCAACUCUCGAAUUUUAUGGAACGUCUGAGUACUAUAUAAUAGUUAAA
rnacentral:misc_RNA from 1 species